rnacentral:rRNA from 1 species
AAAGCACUUUCAGUCGUGAGGAAGGUAGUGUAGUUAAUAGCUGCAUUAUUUGACGUUAGCGACAGAAGAAGCACCGGCUAACUCCGUGCCAGCAGCCGCGGUAAUACGGAGGGUGCGAGCGUUAAUCGGAAUUACUGGGCGUAAAGCGCAUGCAGGUGGUUUGUUAAGUUCAGAUGUGAAAGACCCGGGGCGUCAACCUCGGAAUAGCAUUUGAAACUAGGCAGACUAGAGUACUGUAGAGGGGGGUAGGAAGUUUCAGGUGUAGCGGUGAAAUGCGUAGAGAUCUGAAGGAAUACCGGUGGCGAAGGCGGCCCCCUCGGACAGAUACUGACACUCAGAUGCGAAAGCGUGGGGAGCAAACAGGAUUAGAUACCCCUGGUAG